GCCUGGGUGGCUCAGUCGGUUAAGCGUCCGACUUCGGCUCAGGUCAUGAUCUCGCGGUUUGUGGGUUCGAGCCCCGCAUCGGGCU
rnacentral:tRNA from 1 species